AUACGAUAUAUUUUUCGUUAUUACCUGCUAUUUUUAUUAUUUUGUCGCGACGCAGAACGUGUUUAGCGUAUUACGGCCAUUACUUUUCCUCGAUAUAUUUUACUAACCGGCGGAUAUACCAAAUAAUUUUAUAAAUACCAAUUAUAUUAUUAAUACUGCCAAUUGUAAAUUCCGUUUAUAAUAUUAUCCUGCCACCGUCGCAGCCCUCCUUUAUAAAUUAGUGGUGGGGGAAAUUAUCCCCUUUAAAAUAAUAUUUAGAAAUUAAAGCCCGAAUCGCCCACAAACUCUUAUAUUUCCAAAAUAUUAUACCAAUUUAACCAAAUAUAAUAUAUUUCCACCGUUUUUUAAAUAUUACGUACAGCCCAUUUUCCACCUUUUUGCUAUUUAAUACCCAAUUCCGGGGCAGGGUAUAUUAUUUGCGAUUGUCGGAACGUCUGGUUUUAUCCACCAUGUCCAAUUCGAAAAAAAAGGCGAAAAUCCCCUACAAACCGGAGAUACCUUGUACCGAUAGCAAAUUAAAAACGGGCCGAAACCAGGACCUUUUGUCGGAAAAUACGAUAUCGGUUUUAAACACCGCUCCAAUAUGGACUGUUUAAGGAAAUAUUACUAUUUAGCUAUAUUAAAUUGGAAUUCUUGUUUAAAACGCUCCGUAUAAUUUAUUUUAUAAUUUUAUUUAAAGGUAUAAAUCGCGCAAAACAGUAAUAAAAUUGUUAAGAGUUUUUUAUCCCCAAUCCUGCAUUUCCCCUGCCAACCGUUCCUUCUCGCCUGCAAAAUUAUUAAAUACCGAUUUGAUUUUUAAAUUAUAAUAGCCAAACCGUGUACAUACGUUAACAAUCGCGUUAUUCCAUCGUUUAUUAUUUUUCGUUAAUUAACGGAGGUUUGUUAUAAUAAUUUUAUAUACUUUUAAUCCAUCUUCGGUCCAAACCCCAAACGUAUAAAGAUUUUGCAGCGAUUUAUAAGUUUUUUCACGUUUAUUAAUAAUAUAUUAAAAUUGUAUUACAAUUAUAAAUUUGGCUAAAAAGUAAAUUAUAUCGAUUUCGCAAUAAGGAAAAAAUAAGCAAAACCUCCUAAAGGUUUUAAAUUAUUUUGCCAAUUGUUUUAAAGCGGCUGUAAACUUUUUUUUAAAAUUAUGGUUUUGGCCAUUAGGUUAUCGGUUGGUUUUUUAUGGUUUCGGCGAUAAUAUUUUUGCUGGGAGUUGCACCAAAAGGAGAGCGAUCCGCGUAUCCGAAUAAUAUUGGACCGAUUAUAUUAUAAAUAUAGUUAUUAAUAGUUAAAUUGCACAAAUACGUUAAAAUAUACCGCCAGACGAAAACGUUUACCUGGGCUGGUAAAGAUUUUUCUGCAAUUAGGCAAAAUAUAAGGAUAAUAACGUAAAUAUUACAAUUAUAUAAAUUUUCCUGCCGGGUACAAAAGGCCUUAUAAUAUUCCAUUUAUUCGGGUUUUAAUAUAGGUAUAUUGGUAACUGGUGUUAGAUUAACCUCCGUAUAUGGUUGAAAAAUGUUUUUGGGAUAAAUAAUAUAAAAUUUUCAAAAAAAUUGUAAAAAAUGGCGUAUUUGGUGCCAAAUUCCAAUAUAGGGAGGGCCUUGUAAUUUUCCGAAUAGAAAAUGCAUAUAAUUUUAUUUUCGGUUAAUUUUCCACAUUAUAUAUGCUGGCUGGUACUGGUUUUGGCAAUUUUUUAAAAUAUAUAAAAAGUCGCAAAAUAGUUAUUAACCGUGAUAAAAGACGAAUUAAACGUUGCACCCAUAAUAAAUAACGUAUUAAUAUAAUUAUUAUUUAACCGACUUUUUAAAAAUACCAAAUCGGCCAUAUUAUCUGCUGUUAAAAAUUGCCAAAAUAACCUGUUGGUUGGACCGCGUAAGGCAAUACGGCUGUUAGGCCUUAUAUAUUCCGAAAUACGUAACGUUUUUAUAUUUAAAUUGGCAAAAGGCCGGUUUAUUUAACAAAUUGGCGAUGGGUUAUCGGCGACGACAACGUUUUAAUUUGCACCGGAACCGGGUGCACCGGAACCGAAAAAAUACGUUCGAAACCGGUAUAAAAUUAGGCGGCGGUUAUUGGAAUACGCCGGUUCGAUAUUUGCAACCGUAUUUAAUAUUUGGGAUAAAUGGGGAUCGGUGGGAGCAAAAUUUAAUCCGAUCGUUAUAUUAGUAACGGAUUAUCGCAUUUUUGGGGGUUUAAUUUACGUUUGGUCGCGCAGGUAAUAUUUUUCCGAAUACGUUUGGCGGGAGGGUUUCCACUGUCGCGGCGGUAUUUUAUGGAAAAGGACGGUGCGGCCGAAAACGGGUUCGCAUUGGGGGAAAUAUCGGUCUCAGGUCCAAAUUAUUUGUUAAAUUUUUGGUGGUAAAAUUAAUUGUAUAUUUUUGGGGCGUUGUUUAAAACAAAUAUAUUUAAUAUUGGUUCCCAGGUCGCUGCAUUGCCCUUAUAUCCAACCCAAUAUAUUAAUAGUUGUGGGAAUUUGCCUGGUUUGUAAUAAAAUAUUUUAAAAAUGCGGAAUAUAUUGCAUUUAAUAGUUCUUUCCCGAAUUUAAUUAAAUAACGCCCAAAAUUUAACGAUUAUUACUUUAUCCCGGCGUUGCAUUUUUUUUUUAAAUACCUCCCUGCCAUUUUUACUUUAAAUAAUAAAUUUAACGGUGGUCCGUUAAUUGUUAAUUACCCAAUUGUUAAUUAUCUCGUCGUUAUUACUGUUUUUACUUAUAUCGUCUCUUUAAUUAAAAUUUGCAAUUAUUAUUAGAAAGGGUCUAGGUUAUUUUAAAACGUAAUAAUAUUAAAUAAAUUACCUACGUUAUUAUAUAAUCGCGGUUAUAUAAAAUAUAAUUAUUAAUCGAACGCGGGUCGCAUUUAACGUGGACAAAUGCGAAGGUUUGCGUAAUUUGCGUGGUGGUUAAUUUAAAUAAUAAAAAGCGAUUGUUUGCGCAAUCGACGCGUUAACGCGUUCGGUGGUAUGCGCUGCGUAAUAUUAGCAAGGGGAGACGAAUGGCCAGAUUACCCCGCCCCAAAAGGCAAUUUUUCGGGCGUAAAUAGGAUUAAUUAUAUCGAUUUAAUUGGAUAGGGAACGGUUAAUAAAAUUAAAAUUACCUAAAAUUGCAGUUGGUUUGGUCGCCGGAUAAUAAUAACGCGACCAUUAAAUUGCCCCGCCAAACGCCAAUUACCUUCCAUUUUUUUUCGAUUGUUUUAUCCCUCCCUAUUUAUUAUCGUCGUAUUAAAUAUACCUCGUACAAAUCCCUUUUCCACGUAUAAUAAUAUAACGGUAACGCAAACCGCGGCAAUUUAUACCUGUAACCCCUGUUUUUUCUAUUUAAUUUUUGGGUGGUUUAAUAUAAUUAACCACGCCGUCGUGGGUGCGCGGCCGACGCCAUUUUUAUUUCCGCAUAGUCCCGACCCGGAUUCCGACCUGCGUAAAAAACGUUGGUAACCAAACGCAAACGAACGCCCAAUUUUAAUAUCGAAUUUUUAUUACCCGUUUACGUUAUAUUACCCUUUCCCCUGGAUUUUUAUUGCGGUCGGGGUUACCACCCAAACGACGCCGAAUUUAAAAGCACGACCGCGAUCCGUUAAACGGCCCGGUUUUUAAUUCCGACCUAACGCCCCGUGCCCUUCGCGGUAAUAAUUGUCCAUUUUCCUCCUUUUUAACCAAUUUAAACCCGAGCCGGGCGCCUUUUACGUUUUAUCCGCCUGCACCGUUAUCGUCCACCUUUAUUCGGUUUAUAAAAUUUCGACCUCGACAAUUUUAUCGCGUAAUUAGAAUUAAUUAAAACGUUUUACGAGCCCAGCCAAAUAAAUAAUUAACCUGGAAAAACCAAUUUAUAUUAUACCUGGGAAUAAAAUAGCCAAAAAACUGUUUAAAUUACUACCCCCAUAAAUAUUUACGGUUUAUAAAAUUUUGAAAUUUAUUAGCGGAUUUAUUACGUUGUGCGUUUUCGGCCAGGUAAAAAAAAUAAUAAAAAUAAAAGGUCCCACGUUAUCUGCCUAAUUUACGUCCUUUGGCGAAAACGACAAAAUUACCGUUAUUUCUAAGUUACGGACAGUGGAUAGCAUUUGCGACGACGCCUUCAGGUUAGCAAAUUAAAAAGUAUACGAAUUUGAAUAAAACGCAUGCGUAUAUAUAUUAAUUUAAGUAAUAUAAUUUGCCAAAUCCGCCGUCCAAACGUUAUUAACCAGGUCGGAAUUACACCCGUUUUCGUUCCGCCCAUUCGCGUCACAUAUUUUAAUCGAGGAGGGCUCGACGCCGUAAUAUAAAAGAAGAUUAAUCUCGCGUUUUCCCUAAACCCCGGGAGAAAUAGCCGGUUAAAAAAAGACAUUUUUGGCGCCGUUAUUGUCCAACCUUUAUUAGAACGCAUUGUCUCGCAAAUAAUAUAUAACGGGCUACUGUUUCUGCCCAUCGCCGUUACGAUUAAAACCAAGAUUUUCCAAAGCGAUAAAAAUUACGGUUUAAUUUAGCUGGGCGUAUAAAUUGCGGCGUGGUACGUCCGCAUACGUAAAUUUAUACCGCCAAAAUAUAGCAGGCGCCUCGUUACGCUGCUUAUAAUUGCGUAUUAUAAUUGUAACCGCGGCGAUAGGAUUGGAAUGGUCCUAUUCGGGUAUAUAAACGGUACGUGGAAAUUUUCGGAAAUAUAUAAAUUCCUUGCAAAUUUAAAGGCGCUGGUUAAUUGGGUGGACGGGUGUUUCCAAAAGUGGAUGGUUUAUUUUUUUGCGGAUUAAUAUUGUUAAAAUAAAGCGGGAAGCGUAUUGUAAUAAUUUGAUAUAUAUUAACGUAUACCCUUUUAUUAUAUAAUUAUUAAUUUUAAAUAAGGGAUUAAAGCUCCCUUAUUAUAAUAUUUUAAAUAUAAACCUGUUAUGAUAUAUAUUCCGAAAGGUAAUUAUCGGUGUUAUGGCUCGCGUUGCGGUUGGAGUCGUAAUUAAUACAAACAAUUAAAUAAACGUUAUUUAGGUUGUAAUAAUUACAAAUAAAAUUUUAAAUAACCUAUUCCUAAGGGUAAAUAUAUAAUGGGUUAAAACAAUUAAACGUUUGGGCGUAAUAAUGGGUCCUAAGGGUAAAGGUAUAAUUUAACUUAUAAUUAGAAUAAUAAAUUAAUUGCUGCUAGGCGAUUUAUAAACCAAAAUUAUUUUAUUAGGUAAUAAUUGUUUUUAAAUUUAUAUAUAAUUUUGCGAUUAUUUUGUUCAUUUAAUAAUUUUUAUAAUAAUUUGUCGAUUUAUAUAAUCCGCUCCUUAUUACGAAAUAUAUAAUAAAAGGUGGGGUUCUUAUUUUUCCCGCGCGCCCAGCGAAUAUUUUUUUCCUUUUUUGUCCCUUUUAAUUGGUUACGAACGUUAUAAAAGUUUCUAUUUAUCCAAAUUCGACCUAUAGAUUUAAUCGCCAAAUUCGAACGAAGAUUUGGCUCCCGAAAUUAUUAAUUAAUAUUAUAAAACAAAGUAGAAAAACCAAAGGCGACGGAGCCGAUAAAAUUACCACGUAAUAAACGAAAAUUAAAAUUAGGAAUUUAUUUGGAAAGUAAAGCAGGAAAACGCGGCCGCAUUAUAAAUUUGUAUUAUUACCGCUGGUAUUAUUAUUACAGCGACGUUUAUUCCAUGGCGGCCGUGGCGCCGUUAUUACCGAGGGGCUGGGUACGCCAAUUUUCGUAUUCGAACGUUACCAGGCAAAAAACAAUAUUUGGGCGCAACUUUUCUUUACCGCGUAAUAGCCUCGGCGUUAUAGCAGGCCACGAUACCCUGGUUAGCGGCCGUAAAUCCAAAUUCGGUUUAGCAACCGUUUAUAUUAAUAUUAUUAUUAAAAUUAAUAUUUAACUGUUAUUAUUUCAAAUCGAAUUUUGGUUUUAUAUUAAACCGAAAAUUCGAAAAGUUUACAAGCAAAAUUAGAAAAAAAAUAUUAUCCAGGUUUUGUUUAAUUUGCGGACCUUUUGUAAAACCUUCCAUUAUCUCCUUUAAUUUGCAAUGGCCAAUUCUUCACCUAUAACCAUUUACGUAUUUACGUCUAUGGGUUCGUAAUUUAAAUGUCCGUCGCUGCCAUUUUCUCCGAAGGAUAUUACCGCCUCAAUUCUUAUAUUAUAUUCUCUAUUAAAAAAGGAGUUAAUUAUAUAAUAAUCCUAAUUAUUUUAAUUAAUAUCCACGUUAAUACCUAUCCCUUUAUUUAAAUCCUGCUGUUUCCCGCAAUUAUUUUCCUUCUGCUGCAAAUAUGGUUAUUUCGGCCGCUGCAACCCAUUAUUUACUAUUAUUUUCCCUGCUCCUUUAAUUGCAUUUAUAUUAUUGGUAUUAUUCCUAUACCCGACCCUAAUACCCUAAUUGCUGUUUUUGGCCCCGUAGGCCCAUUCCACAAUAAUUUUAAUUUGGUAAGAAAUUUUAAUAUUAAAUUGUUACCCUCCUGCACCGGAACGGAAUUCCAUUUCGCCGUUUUAACUAACAGUAUUUCGCUUUCGUUUGCAGCUAACCGUUCGUAUUAAACGUCUUAUUUAUAAUUUUGCUAAAAUAAUUAAAUGUUUUACUAAGGGUAAAAUAAUAAUAGGUGUUAGAAAAUAACGUACCCUGUCCAAUAAUCUUUUCUGGAGACCAAAUUAAUAGCAGGUAAAAAAUGGACAUUUUAUAUUUGUCGUAAAUAAAAUAAAAGAGGAGAGGAAAAAAAUGGGCAGUGGGAAGUCCAACCUGUUAUUAUAUUCUUUUUCUUUUCCCAAUCCUGGUAUUAAAUACCAAACCGUGCAGACGAAAUACGUGCAGAUAAAAGUGCCAUUAUAUUAUUCCACUAAUCCAAUCCCCUAAUUAUUUUAUUAAAUUACGUAAAAUGGCCCGUUUCGUAAAAGGUGCACGGUUUAUUAUAAGUAAAAAUUGCUAAAAUAUAUACGUAAAAUACCCAAUUAUAAUGGGUGUUUGGAAUAAUUAUAAGCAGGUAUUUUCGCCGGCGUCGUCGGCGUAAAAAGAAAAAUUGCGAGGUCGCCGGACGCCUUGCGAAUACGUCGAAAAACGAAAAGGUGGGGUAAUUUAAUCGGCCAAAAAAAGGCUGGUUUUGCAAAAACGCGUUUGGGAAAAAUAUUGGAACGCGACGCGGAAUUAAUCUUAAAAAUAUAAAGGGGCGAACCAGGAAUUGGGGCCACAAAUAUAUUGCAGGCACGCGGUUAUUUGGCGCUCCAAUUCUACGUUUUCCAUCCGAUCGCACGAGGCGCGUAUAACUCGUUUAUUUUUAACAUUUAUUUAUCCUUUUAAUUACUUUUAUUUAUAUUAAUUAUAUUUGUAAAUUGGACCAGGUAUUAUAUAUUUAUAUUUAGGUUAUUUUAAAUGUGUGACGUUAAUGCAAAUUUGCCGCUACCAAUAAUUAAUAUUCGAAAUCCUAUUUUAAAAUUUUCCCCGGAACCGGUUUCGUUCCCUCCUUUUAAUUUAUAAAUAAUUCCAAUAUUUUGGUUCGCAUCCCUGCAUUUUAUAUUAAUCCCGUGUCGCGUUUAUAAUAAAUUUAAAAGGUAUUGGCCAGAAUAAAUUUAUAUAAUAAAGUAAAAAAGAAUACGGCGUGGGUAAUAGGAAAGGUUAAAUAACCAAUAUUCUGGUUCCGAAACCCUAAAUUAUAACUAUUAUUUUUCGCUUAACCCUGUUACCGCAAAAAAAUUAUAUUUCGGUCCCCGGAAAAAAUGGAUAAAAUCGUAUUUUAUUUAUUUAUUAGCAAAUAAAAGGCAGAUGUGGCAAUUUCGCAAAUAUAUAAAGAUUAAAAUUGUUAUUAUAUAAAAUAAAAAUACCGUUCGCUUACCCCGCGUCGUUCGCAAAUUUACACCAAACGUCCAAAAAAAGGUUGGUUCCUUAUUUAACGGUAAAAAAAGACGGUAAUAUAGGUUGUUAUAUUAUUUAUAUUAUAAUAUUCCCAGGAAAUUUACAAAUUUUACAAUUAAAACCGUUUAUUGCAAAGGAAUAAACCGUUUAUUAAUAGGCGAAUUUAACGCGUAAACAAACCCCAUUACCGAUACGGCGCCGCAUUGUAAAAAUAAUAUUUAAUUCGGGAAAUAUUAACAGUUAUAUUAAUAUGGGCAAUAUCGCCAAUUUAAUUA
rnacentral:sRNA from 1 species